rnacentral:rRNA from 1 species
UACAGAGGGUGCGAGCGUUAAUCGGAAUUACUGGGCGUAAAGCGUGCGUAGACGGUUAUUUAAGUCAGAUGUGAAAGCCCCGGGCUCAACCUGGGAACUGCAUUGGAAACUAACGGGCUCGAGUGUGGCAGAGGGGGGUGGAAUUCCACGUGUAGCAGUGAAAUGCGUAGAGAUGUGGAGGAACACCGAUGGCGAAGGCAGCCCCCUGGGCUAACACUGACGCUCAGGCACGAAAGCGUGGGGAGCAAACAGG